rnacentral:rRNA from 1 species
GACGAACGCUGGCGGCGUGCUUAACACAUGCCAGUCGAACGAAAAGAGGGAAAGAGCUUGCUCUUUCCGGAAUUGAGUGGCAAACGGGUGAGUAACACGUAAACAACCUGCCUUCAGGAUGGGGACAACAGACGGAAACGACUGCUAAUACCGAAUAAGUUCCAAGAGCCGCAUGGCCCAUGGAAGAAAAGGUGGCCUCUACCUGUAAGCUAUCGCCUGAAGAGGGGUUUGCGUCUGAUUAGCUGGUUGGAGGGGUAACGGCCCACCAAGGCGACGAUCAGUAGCCGGUCUGAGAGGAUGAACGGCCACACUGGAACUGAGACACGGUCCAGACUCCUACGGGAGGCAGCAGUGGGGAAUCUUCCGCAAUGGGCGAAAGCCUGACGGAGCAACGCCGCGUGAGUGAUGACGGCCUUCGGGUUGUAAAACUCUGUGAUCCGGGACGAAAAGGCAGAGUGCGAAGAACAAACUGCAUUGACGGUACCGGAAAAGCAAGCCACGGCUAACUACGUG